ACGCGUGUAGCUCAGCGGCGAGAGCGCCCCGCCCACACCGGGGAAGCCCCAGGUUCGAGUCCUGGUACGCGUA
rnacentral:tRNA from 1 species